rnacentral:rRNA from 1 species
AUUGAACGCUGGCGGCAGGCCUAACACAUGCAAGUCGAACGAGUGGCGGACGGGUGAGUAAUGUCUGGGAAACUGCCCGAUGGAGGGGGAUAACUACUGGAAACGGUAGCUAAUACCGCAUACCACGGAAGGUGCCCGGUGGGGAUGGGCUAGUAGGUGGGGAAACGGCUCACCAGGGCGACGAUCCCUAGCUGGUCUGAGAGGAUGACCAGCCACACUGGAACUGAGACACGGUCCAGACUCCUACGGGAGGCAGCAGUGGGGAAUAUUGCACAAUGGGCGCAAGCCUGAUGCAGCCAUGCCGCGUGUAUGAAGAAGGCCUUCGGGUUGUAAAGUACUUUCAGCGAGGAGGCGUUACUCGCAGAAGAAGCACCGGCUAACUCCGUGCCAGCAGCCGCGGUAAUUC